CUACUUUCACUCAUGAAUGGGACAGUGUGUCCAUCCCAGCGGCAUGCAGGACGGAUGGUAGGGUUGGUGCGUCAUUCAGGGUUCACUAGAGAACAGGCAACACCAGAUAUGCAGAUGCGUAAAAAGCUGUGAGAAUGGCUUGUGACACUCAGACACAGAGUCCGAUGGGGAAGCGUGCAGAGACUGUCUGCACGCCGGAGGUAGAGGGCUCUGGCCCAAGGUCUGGAGCUCACGGCAUUGCCCAGUGGUCCCUAUCCAGAGGCCGAUGGGGCUGCGACAGAAGGCUGAAGAGUCUACGCCAAAAGCCGAAGAGCCUGUGCUGGGAGCCAGGAGAUGAAGAUGAAGACCGGAGCUCCUCUGAGGAGCAGGAGCAAGUCCGUCCUCUCUCAUUAGCCCUGUAAACGCCCCCCUCUCCGGCCGAGCUGUCCUUCGGUGUGGAAUUGCUGAGCCAAUUUAGUUAAGCUUCUGAACUUCCCAGAUUGACACCAUCAACCAUUGCAGUAGGGAGGAGGUCACUGUUUGGAAGGAGGGUCCCCCUCCGUGGGGACUUCGGGGCACUCUCCUGCAGGGUUUCCUCUCUUCCUUGUCUCUUAGCUGCAGAGUCAGUUUUGAUGAACAAUCCAUCUAAUGUCGCUUGUUUUUUCCUGCAGUGCACAGCCCUCCGGAAAUGAGAUACCAUGUUAUCAUUCAUCAGACUCAACACCCUAUUUGUUACAAUUUUGCUGGUGUGGUGCUUCUCAGAGAAGCCCUGGUGCUCAUCCCAUUUUCUGUAAUGGGUUUUAUCCCAUCGCUGUGACCUCCUCCCUGUCCUCCUCUUCCUCAGGGCUGCUCCUCUUCAAGCGCCUUCUGCUACUCGUUCUGGAGCUCAGUGAGUUCUUUCACCGUCAGCUCCCCAUGGUCUUCAGCAGGCUCCUCUGUCUGCACCAUCGAUGUCCAGAGCCACGCUCCUGCCCAUGGACACAGUCUCCUCCAUCAGCCAUGCAGCAGACCCCUCAAAGUCACAUUCAGUGAUGCAACCUGGCCACUGUUUCCAGGCUGAGCUGAAGGUCUGGUAUGUGACACCUUCCCAGGCUUCAUCAGUGAGGCUGAUGCAGCAGAAGACACUGAAUUGCUUUCCCGAGCUCUUUCAAAGCACUGGCUAGUCUCUGGGCUACAGGGGAGGUGUCCUGUUGGGGGAGGCACCUGACCUUUGUGACGUUACACUCAGCAUCCCUCUCUCCCCGAGGCUGGAGGGGGCCAUCAGAAGGGAGCACCUGACAGUUGGUUGUCAGAGAGGUGUUUACCGGUGGUGUUUACCUCUCAUGCAGGCACAUCACAAACAGUCACUUGUGACCCAAGCUUUCCCACUGGCCCCCGCAGGACAGCACCUGGCCUUGUUCGCAUUCCGUUCCUGGAAUGCUGAGCAUCUGGGAAGGGUCCACCAGCAGCAGCUCAAUCUGCAGAUCAGUGCUGCUUUCACACGUAGCCAAAGGGUCGCUCUGCCUGCAAGGGCUUGCGCCUGGCAGCGCCUUUUCCUCCCUGUGACCCCGGGCUGUUCCAGUGUCUUCCCCCAGAAGAACCCUGUCCCACUGCUGCUGGGCGUCUGCUGAGCAAUGGAUCCUUCAGCCUGCACGAAGUCUGUGGACUCUUUCGUGCAGGCUUCUGCAGCAGCCUUGUCAGAACUGGGAGCUGUGCCCUGUCUUAUCAUGCUGUGGACACCACUUCUCUUGUGGAAUUUGUCAAAUCACCCUCAGCCGGCUUCCAGUUCAUCACUUCUUGCCCUUGUAGAGGAGCUUCCCGCAGCGCUGUGCAAUUUCCUGGCUUUUCCACCCGUCACAGCUUCACUAGCCCUGCAGCUGUUUGUCACUCAGCCACACUAACAGAAGUUUCUCCACCUCUUCCUGCACUGUGUCCUCUGCUUGGUCAAUGUUCUUAUUCCUUCUGCCACUUUGAAUCACUUUGAUGCCUUUGAUGGCAUCUUUGUUCUUCAAAGCAAUCACAGUGGUCAACUUUGCUGUCUUGUGCUCCAAGGCCACAAAGGUCACAGGAGUGCCAUGCUCAUGACUUCCUAUGGUUUCCUUCUUCAGUUCAGUGGUUAUUCUCCUCAAAACCUUAGCAUUCUUGCUCUGCACUUUCAUUGCUGCUCUGUGCUUUCUUUGGCACCGAGCUGGGCUGAAUAAUCCUGUACAGCCCUGUAGGUGCUAAACAGUACACAAAAGUGCUCCCCACAGGUGUGCACAGGUCUCUCUGUAACCACAGUCCUGGCCGCAGGAAGCUGCAACGCAUGUCAGAGUGGCUGCAGUCAGAUUUGUCAACUUAUUUGGAGUUUGCAAAUGGAAGCAAAAUUUUGCCAAAUGCUUCUCUUCAUAAGCUGAACUGUUCAUAAACAGAAGCAUUUGUGAACCAAAGUAUUACUGUGUUAACUUGGUGAGAGAUCCACUUUCUAUGGGGAACUGUAUCAGGAUUAGGUGUCACUCUGUUUGAUGGAAAGCUGGCACACUAAAACGGCUUUAAAAGGUAGUUUAUUUGUGCCCUGAAGUUAGGUAACCAAGGCCUUUCAAGUCAUUAGGUACCAGGCUCCAUCCAGUUUUCUUUGAGUUCUUGACCAAAAAGGCUGCUAUAGCUCCAGCCAUCAUAUUCAGUUUAGGCAACAAUAUCGAGAAAGGAGGAAUUCUCUUUUGAAUAAAAGCUUCUGGGGUCCCACAUGGUACUGUCAUAGCUCAUUAACUCUUAGCCAUUUCUUAGUACAAGGGAAACUGGAAAUGUCUCUGAGUGGGUGUGUAUUCACCCUGGUGGGCUGGUAAGGCAGUGUUGUCAGUUCAUCUGUUUCUGGAAAGGAGGGGAGGCCAAGACAGACAGAUAGGGUGAGGGGUGUCCGUCUCCCUCUUGUCAUGUGUAUCAUGCUUAUAGUGGCUGCCUGCAAAGUCAGGUGUGGGAGAGGGCAAAAGGUCCAUUGUGUACAGUCAAAGCAUCCAGUCUGAAGUCACAGGCCUGGAGCUCAAAGCAGAGUUCCGAGUGGGUCUGCAGCAGGAGGGUGCAGCACCUGCACUGGAAGUCUGGAGAUGGGUGUCCAAGGCGAUGGUGAAGACCACAGUCCUCUGAAGAAGCAAGACUUCGUCCUUCUUUCCAUUUUUAUUCCAUCCAGGCUCCUAAGCUAUUGGUUGGUGCCACCCACACUAGGGCGGGUCUUCUUCCCUCAUUUGGCACACACAGCCUGUGUGCCAAUCAUCCAGGUCAGACCAGCACUGUACUCCACUAAUGUGCUAGGUGGUUCUUAUUCAAUUGACACCUCAGUUAAUGUCAGACCAUGUGACCCCUCUGCUGCCUUGGAACUCUGCUGGCAAGGCCACGACCAGACAAGGGCAUCUGACCUUGGGCCAGAACCCAGGAGCAAAAGUCCAGCGGCAAUGGAGCCAAGGGACCAUGGACUGAAGCCUCUGAAACCAUGGACCAGAAGAGGCCUUUCCUCCUUUAAGGGUGAUGCAUGUCUGCUUCCUGUUUCCCUGCGUUCUUCUGCACUCCAAUUCCCAGCUUCAAGGAUUCUCCCAGAGGAAAAGCAAGAGCUGCCUGAACGCCUCCGUGCUGCAGAGCUCAGGAGGAGGCUGGCCCACUCUGUGGAGCCAAGGAAGGCCCCAAACAAUCGGCCAACCCAUCAUGGACUGAGACCUCUGACUCCAGAGCCCACAUGACCGUUCCUGUCUAUAAGUUGACAUCUGUGUGGAAAGCUGACUGUUGGAAAUCACUCCUCUGCAAAGUUGUUAUUGCUGUUAUCAUUUGAUAUUCCAACUGGUGACCAGAAUUUACUUAUCCAUUCUUUGGAAUGAAAUGUAAAGGUACAAAUAAUAAAAUAUUUGAUC